rnacentral:rRNA from 1 species
GGACUACACGGGUAUCUAAUCCUGUUUGCUCCCCACGCUUUCGCGCCUCAGCGUCAGAAACGGUCCAGAUGGCCGCCUUCGCCACCGGUGUUCUUCCCAAUAUCUACGAAUUUCACCUCUACACUGGGAAUUCCACCAUCCUCUCCCGUCCUCAAGCCGCCCAGUCCCAAGUGCAAUUCCGGGGUUGAGCCCCGGGCUUUCACACCUGACUUAGACAGCCGCCUACGCGCCCUUUACGCCCAGUAAUUCCGAACAACGCUAGCCCCCUUCGUAUUACCGCGGCUGCUGGCAC